rnacentral:rRNA from 1 species
CAGCGGCGGACGGGUGAGUAAUGCCUAGGAAUCUGCCUGGUAGUGGGGGACAACGUCUCGAAAGGGACGCUAAUACCGCAUACGUCCUACGGGAGAAAGCAGGGGACCUUCGGGCCUUGCGCUAUCAGAUGAGCCUAGGUCGGAUUAGCUAGUUGGUGAGGUAAUGGCUCACCAAGGCGACGAUCCGUAACUGGUCUGAGAGGAUGAUCAGUCACACUGGAACUGAGACACGGUCCAGACUCCUACGGGAGGCAGCAGUGGGGAAUAUUGGACAAUGGGCGAAAGCCUGAUCCAGCCAUGCCGCGUGUGUGAAGAAGGUCUUCGGAUUGUAAAGCACUUUAAGUUGGGAGGAAGGGCAGUAAAUUAAUACUUUGCUGUUUUGACGUUACCGACAGAAUAAGCACCGGCUAACUCUGUGCCAGCAGCCGCGGUAAUACAGAGGGUGCAAGCGUUAAUCGGAAUUACUGGGCGUAAAGCGCGCGUAGGUGGUUUGUUAAGUUGGAUGUGAAAUCCCCGGGCUCAACCUGGGAACUGCAUUCAAAACUGACAAGCUAGAGUAUGGUAGAGGGUGGUGGAAUUUCCUGUGUAGCGGUGAAAUGCGUAGAUAUAGGAAGGAACACCAGUGGCGAAGGCGACCACCUGGACUGAUACUGACACUGAGGUGCGAAAGCGUGGGGAGCAAACAGGAUUAGAUACCCUG